rnacentral:rRNA from 1 species
AACGAGCGCUGGCGGCAUGCCUAACACAUGCAAGUCGAACGAGACCUUCGGGUCUAGUGGCGCACGGGUGCGUAACGCGUGGGAACCUGCCCUUAGGUUCGGAAUAACUCCCCGAAAGGGGUGCUAAUACCGGAUAAUGUCUUCGGACCAAAGAUUUAUCGCCUUUGGAUGGGCCCGCGUUGGAUUAGCUAGUUGGUAGGGUAAAAGCCUACCAAGGCGACGAUCCAUAGCUGGUCUGAGAGGAUGAUCAGCCACACUGGGACUGAGACACGGCCCAGACUCCUACGGGAAGCAGCAGUGGGGAAUAUUGGACAAUGGGCGAAAGCCUGAUCCAGCAAUGCCGCGUGAGUGAUGAAGGCCUUAGGGUUGUAAAGCUCUUUUACCCGGGAUGAUAAUGACAGUACCGGGAGAAUAAGCUCCGGCUAACUUCGUG